rnacentral:rRNA from 1 species
GACGAACGCUGGCGGCGUGCCUAAUACAUGCAAGUAGAACGCUGAAGGAGGAGCUUGCUUCUCUGGAUGAGUUGCGAACGGGUGAGUAACGCGUAGGUAACCUGCCUGGUAGCGGGGGAUAACUAUUGGAAACGAUAGCUAAUACCGCAUAAUAGUAGAUGUUGCAUGACAUUUACUUAAAAGGUGCAAUUGCAUCACUACCAGAUGGACCUGCGUUGUAUUAGCUAGUUGGUGGGGUAACGGCUCACCAAGGCGACGAUACAUAGCCGACCUGAGAGGGGGAUCGGCCACACUGGGACUGAGACACGGCCCAGACUCCUACGGGAGGCAGCAGUAGGGAAGCUUCGGCAAUGGACGAAAGGCUGACCGAGCAACGCCGCGGGAGUGAAGAAGGGUUUCGGAUCGUAAAGCUCGGUUGUAAGAGAAGAACGAGUGUGAGAGUGGAAAGUUCACACUGUGACGGUAGCUUACCAGAAAGGGACGGCUAACUACGUG